GAUGAACGCUGGCGGCGUGCCUAAUACAUGCAAGUCGAGCGAACAGAUAAGGAGCUUGCUCCUUUGACGUUAGCGGCGGACGGGUGAGUAACACGUGGAUAACCUACCUAUAAGACUGGGAUAACUUCGGGAAACCGGAGCUAAUACCGGAUAACAUAUUGAACCGCAUGGUUCAAUAGUGAAAGGCGGCUUUGCUGUCACUUAUAGAUGGAUCCGCGCCGUAUUAGCUAGUUGGUAAGGUAACGGCUUACCAAGGCAACGAUACGUAGCCGACCUGAGAGGGUGAUCGGCCGCACUGGAACUGAGACACGGUCCAGACUCCUACGGGAGGCAGCAGUAGGGAAUCUUCCGCAAUGGGCGAAAGCCUGACGGAGCAACGCCGCGUGAGUGAUGAAGGUCUUCGGAUCGUAAAACUCUGUUAUCAGGGAAGAACAAAUGUGUAAGUAACUGUGCACAUCUUGACGGUACCUGAUCAGAAAGCCACGGCUAACUACGUG
rnacentral:rRNA from 1 species